rnacentral:sRNA from 1 species
AAGCUCAAAUUUUGAAUCUGGCGUCUCUGGCGUCCGAAUUGUAAUCUAGAGAAGUGUUUUCCGUGACGGACCGUGCACAAGUCUCCUGGAAUGGAGUGUCAUAGAGGGUGAGAAUCCCGUAUAUGGCACGGACUGCCGUUGCUCUGUGAUACACUCUCGACGAGUCGAGUUGUUUGGGAAUGCAGCUCUAAAUGGGUGGUAAAUGCCAUCUAAAGCUAAAUAUUGGCGAGAGACCGAUAGCGAACAAGUACCGUGAGGGAAAGAUGAAAAGCACUUUGGAAAGAGAGUGAAACAGUACGUGAAAUUGUUGAAAGGGAAACGCUUGAAGUCAGUCACGCCGUUCAGGAUUCAGCCUUGCUUCUGCUUGGUUUACUUCCUGUCGGGCGGGUCAACAUCAGUUUUGGUCGGAGGAGAAAGGCUUGUGGAAGGUAGCAGCUUGCUGUGUUAUAGCCACUUGUUGUAUACUUCGACUGGGACUGAGGACCGCAGCA